CGAGGGAGACACGGCUAUUAAACUUACAGAGAAGUGAAGUAACCGGCCUGAGGUCUCACAGCAGAAUGGAAAAAUUACUACCUCUCAUACACUGCCUGACAGUAAACAGUGCAUUCACAGAUACCAGCUUGAAAAUGAUUCUGAGAGAAAAGAAAACUGAGCCAUAUACUAUGACGCUCAACAAGACAUUGCCGGCCUUAUAAAAUUUUUAUUGAUCUUCCUGCUAGCUUGAAAGCUUUAUUCCAUUAGCAUCACAUGUAAAAGUGUUAAAGAGAAGAGGAAGGAUGGAGAGAAGCACCCUUGUGGUCUGGGCCUCUGUCUCUAAAUCACUGCAAUAGAAGAUGCAGGCAGCAGACCUUCAGAGCUUUCAUUUAGUAAAAAAUUCUGCA